GUGGGGAAUAUUGGACAAUGGGCGAAAGCCUGAUCCAGCCAUGCCGCGUGAGUGAUGAAGGCCUUAGGGUUGUAAAGCUCUUUCAGUAGGGAAGAUAAUGACGGUACCUACAGAAGAAGCCCCGGCUAACUUCGUGCCAGCAGCCGCGGUAAUACGAAGGGGGCUAGCGUUGUUCGGAUUUACUGGGCGUAAAGCGCACGUAGGCGGAUUGGUCAGUUAGAGGUGAAAUCCUGGAGCUCAACUCCAGAACUGCCUUUAAUACUGCCAGUCUAGAGUCCAGAAGAGGUGAGUGGAACUCCUAGUGUAGAGGUGGAAUUCGUAGAUAGUAGGAAGAACACCAGUGGCGAAGGCGGCUCACUGGUCUGGUACUGACGCUGAGGUGCGAAAGCGUGGGGAGCAAACAGGAUUAGAAACCCGGGUAGUCC
rnacentral:rRNA from 1 species